UUUUUUUUUUUUUUUGUGGCAAUGCUGUAAGUGUGCAGUAUGGGUGCAGACUUUCUCAGUCCUGCCUGGGAUAGUCAUCUUCUUGAUACAGCGUGCUAUCCUUGGGAGGUUCCAGCUCUCAGAAGACUAGCGUGGAAAUGCUGUGGCCGAGUGUCUUCGUUGCAUUUAAUUUUCAGGGCAACUCAGCUGGGCUCACCCUAUCUUAAUAGGGAACCUGCAGUCUGAAUUUCAAGCAUGCUUCCUUUGAGAAUUCACAGAAAACUGCAACCCAAAGGUGAAAAUAUGUUGUGUGCCAGAAGAUUGCCUCAAUCUGCCAGUCAUGCUUUACCAAAGCACUCCACAGCCUAUCUGGUGUGGGAGAGCAGGAGAGAUGUUCCCAGCAAACAGCAGCACAAACUGAUGGCCCUGGAGUUCUACUGACAGUGCUUCCAAACACUUAUGGCUGUGAGGACAAAAGGAAUGAACGAGCUGCCUUCAGAUUAUGCUAAGCAACAGAAGCAGAGGUGCACGUUGAUUUUGGGAGCAGAAGGAUUUCCCACGUUGCUAGUGAAGUGUCUGUUUAAAGGUAACACCUU
rnacentral:lncRNA from 1 species